AAGAAAAGAAAAGGAAAAGGGUCACUUUCUUCUCCUAAUCUCCUUCUUCUUCCAUGUCAAUGCAUCUUCUGUUGGAAUAAUUAAUAAUUCCAUAUGUGGGUUUCACAUUCGAUUGCAAAAUUUUACGUGUUAGAUAUAUGGCUCAUAAUGGUAAUUGUAUUUGGGCCAAAUUUAUUAAGUGAUCAAUUGGGCCUUUUACACUUUACGGGUUGUAAUUAUUUUAAUGUGGUAAUUUAAAGUAUGUGGGCCGGAAAUAAACCCUAAUUAGAAUUCUAGUCGUAAUGGGACGGCUCAAUUAUUUCCUAUAUAAAGGCUAGGUCCCCUCUCCUCUCCAUAUGUUUUAUUGGCUUGCCCCAUUGAUAGCUAUUACUUUGUGAGGAGUAAGGAGGGGAAAAUCUUGGUUGCUAUUACAACAAUUAUUCAUAUCAACAAUGGCUUCCGCAAGUAUGAAUUCGUUUUAUUAAUUUAUUAUGUGGUGAUUCUUGAUUCUUAACAUGAUAGAACUUAAAUAUUAACAAUUGGUAUCAGAGCCUCGUGUUAAGAUCAAAAUCCAUAAUUAAAAACCAAUUAUUGUUUUAAACCCUUUUGUCCUUGCAUUAAAAGUUUUCUGUGCAUAUAAUUCGUGUAUGUAUAUAUAAGUAUAUGCAUAGCUUGAACACGAUGGACUGCCCCCUUCUACUUCCCCAAAUUUAUAGAUUUGGUUCUCUGCAAAACCACCGUAUUCUUGCUCCCUCGUACGUGUAUUUUUCCUCCUACUCUUUACCAAAGAUGGAGAGAUUUGUGUAUUGAAUUUAAAAAGCCCUAUUGAAUACGAUUCAAAAUUGCGGUGGCCAGUUUGAUGAAUUCGUUCAUAUGGAUUCAGUUUUCAAUUGUGAAUAAAUUCCAUUUGUUUAACAAUUUGCAGCUACCACAUGAAAUUAGAUAAGUGUUGAAUCCAAUUUUUUAAUUGUGGAAGUCAUUGACAUUGUUUAUUGAAACUCAGCAAUUGUGAAAUUAUUUUUUAAUGGCCUGCAAUGAUUUCUUUAAGGGGAUGUGGGGGGCCGCUUGAUUUUGAGUGCCAUUUUGUUUUUUAAUAUGGGCCAGUUGAAACCUAUAUAAAAAAAAAAAAAAAAUUUCUAGAAACGGGCAGAGUAAAUGGAGACGGGGGCCUCUCUUGCAAUUUAUGAGUUUAGAGACCCCUGUGUGCAAUUAAGUGAGCAAUUUCUAAAAUAAGGACCUGUCAAGCAAUUUUAAAUAUUGAGGGACCUAUUUUUAAUUUAAAUUCAUGGUUAAUAUGUAAUUUUCAAAGGGUAUUAAAUUGAACUUUUAAAAGGUUCAACCCUAAGAUUUCAAUUUCAACUCAAUUAAAAUUUUAUUUAAAUUUGACCCGAUUAAAAUUAUAUAUUGAAUAAAUAAUAAAAUUAAUUGACGACUUUUGUAUUAUUUCAUUUAAAUGUUGUCAUUAUCUGCGAGUUUAAAUUUCAAUUUUUAUAUAUAUUGAAAUAUUGAAUUUUGUUGCCCAUUUUGUUUCCAAAUUACAUAUAAAUUUUACCGUUUAUCGAUUAAUGAUUAUGAUUUGUUACAUGAUUAUUAUUUUGUGAUUGAAUUUUUCUAUGGGCCUUGCGACGAUUCUUGUUUUCCCACUAAGAGAAAUAUUUUGAAAUAAAAAUGGGUGGUAGCUGCCAAAGUGGCACACUCAUUAUUAUUUAUUCGAUUUCUCUACAAUAAAAAUACAUAUAUUUUUGCCCAACAACUUUUGAUUUAUUGCAUAUAAUAUAUCGCCCAAAGGUGUUAGUAUAUGUAAUAUUUUUGGAAAAUGGCAUGAGAAAGUUUAACGAGAUUAUUUUGGUUCAGAAAUUCCUUCUGCCCAAAGGUGUUGGAAUUUUGAAAACCAAUGAGUUUUUGCUGACUAGCUGCAUGAUGUGUUUUAAGAGUACCUUAUAGCAUGUUGUAUUGUUGACCCAAAGGUGACUUUAUGAUGAUGCACCUAAACUCUUACCGUAAUAAAAUUCAUAUAUUUCGAUUUAAAUUACGAAUUAUCUAAUUAAUAGCCCAUAUUAAUUAGUUGGAUAUUUCAUCAUCCAUUUGAUUGCAUGCAUUACGUUUGGAUGAUAUUGAGUGUGAUAUUUUAUGCUUCCGCAGUUUAUAAUGCCUCAUCUCUUUCAAAUCAAAUGUCUGCUAUUGAAACUUUGACUGAGAAUAACUAUGUGAGAUGGAAACGAGACGUAGAAAUAGUAAUUGGUCUUUUGGGCUUGGAUUUUGCAAUGGAGAAAAAGCUUGAAAAACCCACAGAUAAGAGUACCGUUGAAUAUGUAGUUGAGCAUGAAAAGUGGGAAAGGGCUAACAAACUUUGUUUGAAAAUCAUUAAGUGAUCGAUAUCUGAUUCCAUUCUAGGUGCCAUCCCUGAUAAUGAAAAUGCUAAAAGUUUUAUGGAUGCCAUAGGAGAAAAAUUUAUUGAGUCUGAUAAAGCCGAAACUGGGGAUCUGAUGGAUAAAUUUAUGAGCAUGAAAUAUGAUGGCACAAAUGGUGUUAGGGAGCAUGUCAUGAAAAUGAAAAAUAUAUCAUCUAAGUUAAAGUCUCUUGACAUUCCCAUUGCGGAGCCUUUCCUGGUCUAUCAUAUUUUGAAUAGACUUCCUAGCAAGUUUAAUCAGUUUAAGGUUGCUUACAAUGCUCAGCGGGAUAAGUGGAAUUUGAAUGACCUCAUAGCAGUGUGUGCCCAAGAAGAGUAUAGGAUGCGCCGUGAAACUGUUGAAAUUGUGCAAUUAGCUUUUCAGCCAUCACAGAAUAAGGAGCCUUCUCAUAAUCAUAAACCUAAGUUUCGUAAGGGUAAUAAGUCCCACCGAAGUCAGCAGAAUAAAAAUCUUAGUGGUCCCAAAGCAGUUAUAAAGAAAAAUGAUCAAUGCAAGUUUUGUAAAAAAAAGGGUCACUGGCAGAAAGACUGUUUUAAGUUCAAGACUUGGUUGGAAAAGAAGAAGAGUUCUUCAGGUAUUCCCUUGGCCUUAGUUUGUUUUGAGUCUUUUUUAGUAGAUGUACCUUUGAAUUCUUGGUGAUUAGACUCAGGAGCUAGUAUUCAUAUUGCGAAUUCCUUGCAGGGGUUCAUAAGCAAACGGAGGCCAAGUGAGAAUGAAGUAAGUUUGAGCGUUGCAAAUGGAUUCCAAGUGAAGGUUGAAUUCAUAGGAGUAGUGAAGUUAACUUUAGAAUCUGAUUUUUAUCUUGUUUUGGAAAAUACAGUUUAUGUACCGCAGAUGAGACGGAAUUUAAUUUCUAUACCAAAACUUGAUGCUUGUGGUUUUACAUUUAAUUUUGGUAAUGGAAUGGUUAAGUUAUUUAAUGAUUCUUGUUUGAUUGGAAAUGACAUUUUAUGUGAUGGUUUAUAUAAAUUAUCUUUGGCUUCUUUUGGUGAUGUCUCGUGUGUUACAAAUGUAUCAAAGAAAAGGGCUUUAAUUCGUGAAUCAUCCUCUAUGUUGUGGCAUAAGCGAUUGGGUCAUAUUUCUAAGGAUAGAAUGAAAAGAUUAGUAAAAGAUGAGAUACUUCAUUCCUUAAACUUCUCCGAUUUUGACACCUGUAUAGAUUGUAUAAGAGAAAAGUUAACUAAGUCUACGAGGAAGGGUUCGACUAGGAGUAAUGGAAUUUUGGACUUAAUUCACACUGAUAUCAGUGGACCUUUGCUUUCCACUAUAUGUGGGAAUAAAUAUUUCAUAACUUUCAUUGAUGAUUUCUCACGAUAUGGAUAUGUUUAUUUAAUUAACGACAAAUCACAUGCACUUGAGAAAUUCGAAGUUUUCAAACUGGAAGUAGAGAAAUAAUGUGGGAAAAAUAUCAAAGCUGUAAGAUCUGAUCGAGGUGGUGAGUACUAUGGGAAAUAUGACGAGUCUGGUCAAAAUAUGGGUGAUUUUGCAAAAUUUUUACAAGAGUGUGGAAUAGUGCUCCAAUACACCAUGCCAGGGACACCUGAGCAGAAUGGUGUUUCUGAAAGACGUAAUCGAACUCUAAAAGAUAUGGUUAGAAGUAUGAUGAGUAGAACAAAUUUGCCUGAAUAUUUGUGGGGUGAAGCCUUGAAAACAGCUAUGUAUAUUUUGAACAGAGUUCUAAGUAAAGCUGUUGCAAAGACACCUUUUGAAUUAUGGACAGGACGUAAGCCAAGUAUGGCUCAUUUUAAAGUUUGGGGAUGCCCAGCUGAGGUUAGGAUUUAUAAUCCAUUUGAAAAGAAAUUAGACCCUAAAUCAACUCCUGGCUACUUUAUUGGGUAUCCAGAUAGAUCAAAGGGAUAUAAGUUUUACUGUCCUAAUCGCAGCACUAGAAUUGUGGAGUCCAUUACUGCUAAGUUUCUGGAGAACGAUUUUGGAGAUAGUGGGAGUUCCACGUUGAGAGAAAUUCUUGUUGAACCCAAUCAAGUUGUUGUUCCAGUUCCCAUCAUACAGGAAAGAGUUGGUUCCCAAACAAUUGAAGUUGUUAAUGAAGAACCGAGGACCCAGGAGGAAUCUCCAAUUCCUCAAACAACGAUUGGAUCGGUUCCUGAGCCACAAGUUAGGAGAUCACAAAGGGAAAGAAGAUCUGCAUUGCCCAGUGAUUAUGUUACAUAUUUAUUGGAGAGCGAUUUUAAUAUCGGGCAUAUUGUUGAUCUUGUAACUUAUAAUAAAGCAUUGACAAGUUCUGAGGCAGAUAAAUCGAUAGCUGCCAUGGAAGAUGAAAUGAAUUCCAUGGAAAUGAAUAAAGUUUGGGAUCUUAUUGAACUUCCUCUAGAUGUUAAGGUUGUAGAUAACAAGUGGAUUUUCAAAAGUAAAUUAGAUUCAAAAGGAAAUGUUGAACGAAAGAAAGCAAGAUUGGUUGCAAAAGGUUUCACUCAACGAGAGGACAUUGAUUAUGUUGAAACCUUCUCCCCUGUUUCAUCGAAAGAUUCUUUUCGAAUUAUCAUGGCUCUUGUGGCACACUACAAUUUGGAGUUUCAUCAAAUGGAUGUUAAAACAGCAUUUUCGAAUGGAGAUCUUUCUGAAUUGGUUUAUAUGAAACAACCUGAAGAUUUUGUUGUAAAAGGAAAAGAAAACUUGGUGUGUAAGUUAAACAAAUCCUUAUAUGGUCUCAAGCAAGCAUCUCGACAGUGGUAUUUGAAAUUUGAUGAGGUUGUAACAUUUCUUGGUUUUAUUGAAAAUACUAUUGAUCAAUGCAUUUAUCUUAAAACCAGUGGGAAAAAUUUUAUUUUCCUUGUAUUGUAUGUUGAUGACUUUCUACUUGCUAGCAGUAACUUAGGGCUGCUUCAUGAGACAAAGAAAAUGUUGUCUGCUAAUUUUGAGAUGAAAGAUCUGGGAGAAGCUUCCUAUGUACUUGGCAUUAAAAUACAUCGUGAUAGAAAUCGUGGUUUAUUGGGACUUUCUCAGAAAGCUUAUAUACAACGUGUUCUAGAAAGGUUUAAUAUGCAGAAUUGUGCACCUGGUGAUGUACCUAUCAUAAAAGGAGAUAAGUUUAAUAAAACUCAAUGUCCAAGGAAUGAGCUGGAAAGGGAGUCCAUGAAGAUGAUCACAUAUGCUAGUGCUGUGGGAAGCUUAAUGUAUGCUCAAGUUUGCACUAGACCGGAAUAGCCUACGCAAUAAGUGUCCUUAGCAGAUUUCAGUCUAAUCCAGGACAAGAGCAUUGGAAAGCAGCUAAAAAAGUAAUGAGAUAUUUGAAGAAAACUGAAAGUUAUAUGCUUACAUUCCAACGUACAAAUCAUCUUGAGGUGGUAGGAUAUUCAGAUUCUGAUUUUGCUGGAUGUCAAGAUGAUUUGAAAUCAACCUCAGGUUACAUUUUUACAUUAGCUAGUGGUGCCAUUUCUUGGAAAAGUGUUAAACAGACUUUAGUGACAUCUUCUACUAUACAAGCUGAAUUUGUGGCAUGUUAUGGGGCUACAGUCCAAACCAUUUGGCUAAGAAAUUUUAUCUCUGACUUGAAAGUUGUUGAUUCCAUCUCAAGACCAAUCACUAUCUACUGUGAUAACAGUGCAGCAGUAUUCUUUUCAAAGAAUAAUAAAAGUUCUGGUGGAUCAAAACAUAUUGACAUCAAAUAUUUGGUUGUUAGAGACAGAGUCAAAGAAGGGCAGACGAAAAUAGAGCAUAUCAAUACAGAGGCGAUGGUUGCAGAUCCCUUGACUAAGGGACUUGCUCCAGAAGUUUUUAAGACACAUGUUACUAAUAUGGGUAUUAUGGAAACAUUUGAUAUUUUUGGUUAGUGGGAAUUAUUUAUGUAAAAAACUACGUUUUGGGCUUGAUCCCUUUACGGGGUACGUAGGCAACCCAUAUGUUUUCGGGUACAGCCCCUUCUGAUAAUAAAAUAAUUUUUCCCCUAUUCAUGAACUAUUUUAAGCAUGCAUUUGACUUAUGUCUUUUUAUAUUAUUGAUAUCUUGAAAGACAUAAAAAUGAGUCUCUUUUGGAGACAUGUGGCUUCAUUUUGAUUCGAAGCGUUAUGAGGACCGAUAUGAGUUAGCACAGUUUUUGAUCACAUUUGGUACUAAGUUCAUACCACAUACUACCACAUUGGUUGGAGGAUGGGGAUCCAUGUUGAUAAGGAUAUUGACAUUUGUAGCUGUGGAAUGGUCUUACGUCUCUUAAAUUGGUGUAAUGACUUCCAUGUUCGGUGUUAAUAUUCUUGUUGGACCGGAUCAUGUUACGUAAGGUGUUAUCAUUGGAGCUAUACUUUUGUGGCCACCUAUGUAGUCUAACCCGGGUGUUAAAACUUUGUUAUGGCAAUCAAAUGUCUGCCCAAGUGGGAGAAUGUUGGAAUAAUUAAUAAUUCCAUAUGUGGGCUUCACAUUGGAUUGCAAAAUUUUACGGAUUAGAUAUAUGGCUCAUAAUGAUAAUUGUGUUCGGGCCAAAUUUAUUAAGUGAUCAAUUGGGCCUUUUACACUUUACGGGUUGUAAUUAUUUUAAUGUGAUAAUUUAAAGUAUGUGGACCGGAAAUAAACCCUAAUUAGAAUUCUAGUCGUAAUGGGACGGCUCAAUUAUUUCCUAUAUAAUGGCUAGAUCCCCUCUCCUCUCCAUAUGUUUUAUUGGCUUGCCCCAUUAAUAGCUAUUACUUUGAGGAGCAAGGAGGGGAAGAUCUUGGCUGCUAUUACAACAAUUAUUCAUAUCAACAAUGGCUUACGCAGGUAUGAAUUCGUUUUAUUAAUUUAUUAGGUGGUGAUUCUUUAUUCUUAACAUGAUAGAACUUAAAUAUUAACAUCUUCAUCCUCAAAUUCUUAUCCCUUUCUUCCUCAUUUGUUCUUUAUCACGCCCUCCAAAAAUUACACACCGAGAAAGGAGAAGUCGUUAUUUUGAAUUCAUUUAGUGUUAAAUUACGAAUACUACUGCUGAUUUUUGGAAAGAAUGAGCACGGAAGAGCUUCUUAAUAUCGAUCCUCCAGUGCUGAGUUUCCCAU
rnacentral:lncRNA from 1 species